GGUAGGGUAUUGGCCUACCGAGGCAGCAACGGGUAACGGGGAAUUAGGGUUCGAUUCCGGAGAGGGAGCCUGAGAAACGGCUACCACAUCUAAGGAAGGCAACAGGCGCGCAAAUUACCCAAUCCUGACACAGGGAGGUAGUGACAAGAAAUAACAAUACAGGGCUUUCGUCUUGUAAUUGGAAUGAUGGUGAUGUACAACCUCACCAGAGUACCAAUUGGAGGGCAAGUCUGGUGCCAGCAGCCGCGGUAAUUCCAGCUCCAAUAGCGUAUAUUAAACUUGUUGCAGUUAAAAAGCUCGUAGUUGUAUUUCAGCCUCGCGUUUUUUCCCUCUUUUCGGGUCUUUUCGCUGGCUUUUUUUUUACUUUGAGAAAAUUAGAGU
rnacentral:rRNA from 1 species